AUACGUAGGUCACGAGCGUUAUCCGGAAUUAUUGGGCGUAAAGCGCGUGUAGGCGGUUUGUUAAGUCUGAUGUGAAAGCCCCGGGCUCAACCUGGGAAGUGCAUUGGAUACUGGCAGACUUGAAUACGGGAGAGGGCAGUGGAAUUCCUGGUGUAGGAGUGAAAUCCGUAGAUAUCAGGAGGAACACCGGUGGCGAAGGCGGCUGCCUGGACCGAUAUUGACGCUGAGACGCGAAAGCGUGGGUAGC
rnacentral:rRNA from 1 species